rnacentral:lncRNA from 1 species
GCCACCUUAGCAGCCAUCGCCACCACCUCAUCGAGCACUCCAGGUCAUCGUGGCCCACCUUAAGAACCUAUAACUCAAGCCUGAUCUCUUCCGAUCAUUGACCACCUCAAGAACCUAGCCCACAACCACCGAUCUCCACCACUCCAAUUGCUCUAGACAUGCCGAUUCUCUUCGUAAGGAAUCAGAAAGACUGCUGUGAGCUGGC